rnacentral:rRNA from 1 species
AGCGAACGUUAGCGGCGCGCCUAACACAUGCAAGUCGCACGAGAAAGGGCUUCGGCCCCGGUACAGUGGCGCACGGGUGAGUAACACGUGGGUAACCUUCCCCAGAGUGGUGGAUAACCUGCCGAAAGGCGGGCUAAUACAGCAUACGACCGGUUGUCUUCGGGCGAUUGGUGAAAGCAGGCCUCUGUAUACAAGCUUGCGCUCUAGGAUGGGCCCGCGGUCCAUCAGCUAGUUGGUGAGGUAACGGCUCACCAAGGCUACGACGGGUAGCUGGUCUGAGAGGAUGGCCAGCAACACUGGAACUGAGACACGGUCCAGACUCCUACGGGAGGCAGCAGUGGGGAAUCUUGCGCAAUGGACGAAAGUCUGACGCAGCGACGCCGCGUGGGCGACGAAGGCCUUCGGGUUGUAAAGCCCUGUGGGGCGGGACGAACACACUCUAUUCGAACAGGGUAGGGUGCUGACGGUACCGCCUUAGCAAGCACCGGCUAACUCUGUGCCAGCAGCCGCAGUAACAC